UACAGAGGGUGCGAGCGUUAAUCGGAGUUACUGGGCGUAAAGGGCGCAUAGGCGGUUAUAUAAGUGAGAUGUGAAAUCCCUGGGCUUAACCUAGGAACUGCAUCUCAUACUGUAUGACUGGAGUAUUGUAGAGGGUAGUGGAAUUUCCGGUGUAGCGGUGAAAUGCGUAGAGAUCGGAAGGAACACCAGUGGCGAAGGCGGCUACCUGGACAAAUACUGACGCUGAGGCGCGAGAGCGUGGGGAGCAAACGAGG
rnacentral:rRNA from 1 species